rnacentral:piRNA from 1 species
UGAGGGAGUCUAGAAGGAUUGGGCUGUGG